GGAGGAGCCUACUAACCCUUCUCCUCAGCUGAGCCCCAACCAGGCUACUCCCGUGGUAGCGCUGGCACCAGGGCAGAGUACCGCUGGUCUCUGCCCACGCAGCAACCCACCAAUCCGGAGGGCUAGUACUCCCCAGAUCCAUGGUGGAGCCCCUGGACAUGGACAAGCUACCCACUACCCCAGGUACAGUAACUUUUCAUUGUGGGUGGGCUGCACU